rnacentral:rRNA from 1 species
UACGGAGGAUCCGAGCGUUAUCCGGAUUUAUUGGGUUUAAAGGGUGCGUAGGCGGAUUGAUAAGUCAGUGGUGAAAUUCUACAGCUUAACUGUAGACUUGCCGUUGAUACUGUUAGUCUUGAGUGUGGUCAAGGCAGGUGGAAUGUGUAAUGUAGCGGUGAAAUGCUUAGAUAUUACACAGAACACCGAUUGCGAAGGCAGCUUGCUGGGUCAUUACUGACGCUGAUGCACGAAAGCGUGGGGAUCAAACAGGAUUA